ACAGAGAAAGCCGUUUAAAUUUUUCCCAUUUCAGCAGAAUUAUUUCCUUUGGAUUAGUUAAUUCAAGCUCCGAGCAUAACAUAUCAAAUAUCAAAUGCUAGUUUUCAACAACAAGUUCUUGCAUUUCAAGAAAAAGUUGUUAAAGCGAUGAGAGAUAUAUCAAAUAAUUUAUCUUUACCGACGACUUCAAUUGCUCAACAAACUCCAGUAUCUUUAUUUGAUAUUGAGUGGGUAAAAUCAAAAGAGGAGUUUUUUUUUUGAUUGAAGAAAAUAUGAAAGUGAAUUUAUUCUUAGAAGAAAAAAUUGUACAACUAAUGCAAAUAGGAGGGCUUGACUAUAAAGAUACAAUAAAGAACAUAACGAAGCGAUUUUUUUACGAUUUUGCCAUGCGUGAGUUGAACAUGAAUGGUACCAGAGGCCAAAAUAAAUUAGCUUUUGGCGGAACCGAGACCUACAAAACAAUUUACAAAGUAGUCAUGCUCAAGUUCCCAAAGAUGACGGAAAAAGAAUUUUAUCAAGUCGUUCAGAGCCUCCUUUGAAAUGCCCCUGCUCGAUCAAAAAAGAAAGCAGUCGUAUAAAAAAUGAUAACAGUAUUGUAUAUUUUAUUCAAGAUAAAGUUUCUUAUAUAAUAUGGUUAUUAAUCUUAAAUGUAAAAAAAAUACAAA